rnacentral:rRNA from 1 species
GAUGAACGCUGGCGGCGUGCUUAACACAUGCAAGUCGAACGAUGAAGCCCAGCUUGCUGGGUGGAUUAGUGGCGAACGGGUGAGUAAUACGUGAGUAACCUGCCCUUAACUCUGGGAUAAGCCUGGGAAACUGGGUCUAAUACCGGAUAGGAGCGUCCACCGCAUGGUGGGUGUUGGAAAGAUUUAUCGGUUUUGGAUGGACUCGCGGCCUAUCAGCUUGUUGGUGAGGUAAUGGCUCACCAAGGCGACGACGGGUAGCCGGCCUGAGAGGGUGACCGGCCACACUGGGACUGAGACACGGCCCAGACUCCUACGGGAGGCAGCAGUGGGGAAUAUUGCACAAUGGGCGCAAGCCUGAUGCAGCGACGCCGCGUGAGGGAUGACGGCCUUCGGGUUGUAAACCUCUUUCAGUAGGGAAGAAGCGAAAGUGACGGUACCUGCAGAAGAAGCACCGGCUAACUACGUG